rnacentral:rRNA from 1 species
CGAACGCUGUCGGCGUGCUUAACACAUGCAAGUCGAACGGAAAGGCCCUGCUUUUGUGGGGUGCUCGCGUGGCGAACGGGUGAGUAACACGUGAGUAACCUGCCCUUGACUUUGGGAUAACUUCAGGAAACUGGGGCUAAUACCGGAUAGGAGCUCCUGCUGCACGGUGGGGGUUGGAAAGUUUCGGCGGUUGGGGAUGGACUCGCGGCUUAUCAGCUUGUUGGUGGGGUAGUGGCUUACCAAGGCUUUGACGGGUAGCCGGCCUGAGAGGGUGACCGGCCACAUUGGGACUGAGAUACGGCCCAGACUCCUACGGGAGGCAGCAGUGGGGAAUAUUGCACAAUGGGCGGAAGCCUGAUGCAGCAACGCCGCGUGCGGGAUGACGGCCUUCGGGUUGUAAACCGCUUUCGCCUGUGACGAAGCGUGAGUGACGGUAAUGGGUAAAGAAGCACCGGCUAACUACGUG